GCAUGGGGCUCCGGUGGUAGAUCAUGAGACCCUUAAUCUCAGAGUCAUGGGUUUGAGCCCCACGUUGGGCA